UGCAGUCGGACGACAGGCGAGGAAUCCGCAAGGAGGAAUCGUGCUGAGUGGCGAACGGGUGAGUAAGGCAUGGGGACGUACCCUCAAGAGGGGGAUAGCAUUCCGAAAGGGAUGGUAAUACCCCGUAAGCUCGAGAGAGGGAAGGUGCAACAGCACCGCUUGAGGAGCGACUCAUGGCCCAUCAGUUAGUUGGUGAGGUAAAGGCCCACCAAGGCUAUGACGGGUAGCUGGUCUGAGAGGAUGGUCAGCCACACUGGGACUGAGACACGGCCCAGACUCAUACGGGAGGCAGCAGUGGGGAAUUUUUCCCAAUGGGCGAAAGCCUGAGGGAGCGACGCCGCGUGGAGGAAGGAGUCUUUCGAGAUGUAAACUCCUGUUGUAAGGGAGCAAGGGUAUAUGUAGUGGAAAGGCAUAUACUCGGAUAGUACCUUACGAGGAAGCCCCGGCUAACUACGUGCCAGCAGCCGCGGUAAUACGUAGGGGGCGAGCGUUGUCCGGAGUUACUGGGCGUAAAGGGUGCGUAGGUGGCCGAUAAAGUCAAUUGUGAAAUUCCACGGCUCAACUGUGGGAGUGCGGUUGAAACUAAUCGGCUUGAGGUCAGGUCAGGAAGAUGGAAUUGUCAGUGUAGGGGUGAAAUCCGUAGAUAUUGGCAAGAACGCCGGUGGUGAAGACGGUCUUCUGGGCUGAUACUGACACUGAGGCACGAAAGCUAGGGGAGCGAACGGGAUUAGAUACCCCGGUAGUCCUAGCCGUAAACGAUGUUCACUGAGUAUGGGAGGCGUUAGCCAUCCGUGCUGAAGCAAACGCGUUAAGUGAACCGCC
rnacentral:rRNA from 1 species